GGGGUUGUAGCUCAGUGGUAGAGUGCUUGCCUCGCAUGUGUGAGGUACUGAGUUCAAUUCUCAGCACCACA
rnacentral:tRNA from 1 species